rnacentral:rRNA from 1 species
CUAGGUGGCUAUAUUGUAGGGGUUCCACCUCUUCCCAUUCCGAACAGAGAAGUUAAGCCCUAUAAAGCUGAUGGUACUGCCGUAAAAGGUGGGAGAGUAAGUCGCCGCCAUUU